rfam:Schistosoma rodhaini strain Burundi genome assembly, scaffold: SROB_scaffold0016949
AUCUAGCUGACGAGUCCCAAAUAGGAUGAAACAUGCGUCCUGGAU